UUAAGUUCAGCGGGUAGUCCCGCCUGAUUUGAGGUCAAGUUUGAAGUGAUUGUCUCUUGCGAGACGGUUGGAAGCGAUUCCCAUAUGUUCGCUAAGCCGAGGAGUAGAUGUCUAUCACACCAAGGCCGCAAGGGCUUCGCUAAUGUAUUCAAGGAGAGCGGAUCGGCCAGGGACCCGCAAGCUCCCAAAUCCCAGCCCAA
rnacentral:misc_RNA from 1 species